UCGAGGAUCUUCGGCAAUGGGCGCAAGCCUGACCGAGCGACGCCGCGUGCGCGAUGAAGGCCUUCGGGUUGUAAAGCGCUGUCGAGGGGGAGGAAAGCCCGCAAGGGUCUGACCUAUCCCUGGAGGAAGCACGGGCUAAGUUCGUGCCAGCAGCCGCGGUAAGACGAACCGUGCAAACGUUGUUCGGAAUCACUGGGCUUAAAGGGCGCGUAGGCGGACAGCCAAGUCUGCGGUGAAAUCUUUCGGCUUAACCGGAAAACGGCCGUGGAUACUGGCUGCCUUGAGGGAGGUAGGGGCCCGUGGAACUUCCGGUGGAGCGGUGAAAUGCGUUGAUAUCGGAAGGAACGCCGGUGGCGAAAGCGGCGGGCUGGAUCUCUUCUGACGCUGAGGCGCGAAAGCUAGGGGAGCAAACGGGAUUAGAUACCCCUGUAGUCC
rnacentral:rRNA from 1 species